rnacentral:rRNA from 1 species
GUUGGCCUCGGAUCAGGUGGGGAUACCCGCUGAACUUAAGCAUAUCAAUAAGCGGAGGAAAAGAAACCAACAGGGAUUGCCUCAGUAACGGCGAGUGAAGCGGCAACAGCUCAAAUUUGAAAUCUGGCGCAAGCCCGAGUUGUAAUUUGUAGAGGAUGUUUCGGGUGAAGCCACGGUCCAAGUCCCUUGGAACAGGACGUCAUAGAGGGUGAGAACCCCGUACCUGGCCGUCGGUGCCCCCCGCUGUGAAACUCCUUCGACGAGUCGAGUUGUUUGGGAAUGCAGCUCUAAAUUGGUGGUAAAUUCCAUCUAAAGCUAAAUACCGGCCAGAGACCGAUAGCGCACAAGUAGAGUGAUCGAAAGAUGAAAAGCACUUUGAAAAGAGAGUUAAAAAGUACGUGAAAUUGUUGAAAGGGAAGCGCUUGCGGCCAGACUUGCCCGCGGUUGCUCAGCCCGCCUUUUGGCGGGUGCACUCUUCCGCGGUCAGGCCAGCAUCGGUUUGGGCGGUCGGAUAAAGGCGUAGGGAACGUGACCUCCCCUCGGGGAGGUGUUAUAGCCCUGCGCGCAAUGCGACCAGCCCGGACCGAGGUUCGCGCUUUGCUAGGAUGCUGGCGUAAUGGCCGUAAGCGGCCCGUCUUGAAACACGGACCAAGGAGUCUAACAUCUAUGCGAGUGUUUGGGUGUCAAACCCGUGCGCGUAAUGAAAGUGAACGGAGGUGGGAACCGAAAGGUGCACCAUCGACCGAUCCUGAUGUCUUCGGAAGGAUUUGAGUAAGAGCAUAGCUGUUGGGACCCGAAAGAUGGUGAACUAUGCGUGAAUAGGGUGAAGCCAGAGGAAACUCUGGUGGAGGCUCGCAGCGGUUCUGACGUGCAAAUCGAUCGUCAAAUUUGCGUAUAGGGGCGAAAGACUAAUCGAACCAUUU